rnacentral:rRNA from 1 species
CUACGGGCGGCACCAGUGGGGAAUAUUGCACAAUGGGCGCAAGCCUGAUGUAGCAACGCCGCGUGAGGGAUGAAGGCCUUCGGGUUGUAAACCUCUUUUAGCAGGGAAGAAGCGAAAGUGACGGUACCUGCAGAAAAAGCACCGGCUAACUACGUGCCAGCAGCCGCGGUAAUACGUAGGGUGCAAGCGUUGUCCGGAAUUAUUGGGCGUAAAGAGCUCGUAGGCGGUUUGUCACGUCUGCUGUGAAAAUCCAAGGCUCAACCUUGGACUUGCAGUGGGUACGGGCAGGCUAGAGUGCGGUAGGGGAGAUGGGAAUUCCUGGUGUAGCGGUGGAAUGCGCAGAUAUCAGGAGGAACACCAAUGGCGAAGGCACAUCUCUGGGCCGUAACUGACGCUAAGGAGCGAAAGCGUGGGGAGCGAACAGGAUUAGAUACCCUGGUAGUC